rnacentral:rRNA from 1 species
CAUGCCGCGUGUGUGAAGAAGGCCUUCGGGUUGUAAAGCACUUUCAGCGAGGAGGAAGGGGAGUCGGUUAAUACCCGGCUUCAUUGACGUUACUCGCAGAAGAAGCACCGGCUAACUCCGUGCCAGCACCGUCGGUGACUGAGCGGGCUGGCAAGGCGCAUA